CUGUGUUAGAGUGUUUUGUUCUUGUUAUUUUCCCUGACUUUCUGACAAUCUUUGAUACAGAGAUUCAUAAAAAGAUACACCCAAAUAUUCUCAGAAGUAUAGUUCAAAGUCCACUUUGAAACUAUAUAUCUGAGUAAAUAAGCCAGCUGAUGAAGUGGAAACCUAGGUUUGGAUUCUGUGAAGAGAAGAGAAGGAACCUGCUAGAGCCGCUGGAAAGUGUUAUGAGUAGGUGAAGUUGGAUAUGGCCACAGAACUGGUCAAGACUACUGCCGAAAGCAAGAGUCCAGGUGGAAAAUGGAGGCAAGAAUAGCUGCACGUCUGAGAAAGUCACAGCUAGGAAGGAGAUGAAACUGAGGUGCUGGGGAGAAUGGAAGAAGGAGGAGUAGAAGGACCGAAAAUACUUUAAAGAAUCUAGAAAGACAUCUCUUCUACCUGAGAUGGGAGUUAUGUUUGAUUUCAUUUUUUCAUGUCUCUAAAUUAUGUUUCCUCUUCAAAUCAUGUAGAAUUGCACAUCAUAGAAUAAACUGUACAAAGUGACCAAUGAGAUAGUGACAUGAUAUAGGAGUACAUUAUUACCAUGCAAUUCACAUCUGGAAUCAUCUCGGUGCAAUUUGCAUGAUCUAUGUCACCUAGCCAUGGGUCAUAA